AGUCUGUGAUGACUAGUAAAAGGUCUGAUAGCACUGUAUGUUUUCAGUAUACCUCAGACUCCCAGCAGUAUCUCUGUGUUUUCCAGUCCUGCUCUAGAAGUGCAUUGACUGGUAAUGACGUCUGCUGACAAAUAGGAUAACCCAGACAUUCACUGCUCCUUUAGUAUUGGGAGCUGUGCUAAUGAGGGGGAUCCAACACUAAUUUAUGCCAUGGGGUCUGAUGUGUACAAUAGGAAAUACAGUGCAUGAAAUCUUGAAGAGACUGAGACU